rnacentral:rRNA from 1 species
CUGAUUGACCGAUAGUGAACCAGUACCGUGAGGGAAAGGCGAAAAGAACCCCGGCGAGGGGAGUGAAAUAGAACCUGAAACCGUGUACGUACAAGCAGUGGGAGCACCCUUAUGGUGUGACUGCGUACCUUUUGUAUAAUGGGUCAGCGACUUAUAUUCUGUAGCAAGGUUAACCGUAUAGGGGAGCCGUAGGGAAACCGAGUCUUAACUGGGCGAAUAAGUU